rnacentral:lncRNA from 1 species
GGACUGACGAGGACGUCAGGGCCUUAACGGGGGGAGCCUGUGACACCCCAAUAGUCCCACAUCGGGUGGAAAAGGAGUUGUCAUUGGGUUUAUAAGAGACUUAGACACUAGUAAUAAUAACUGGGCUUAAGCAUUUUGGGCCGGUGGUUGGGCCCAACGAGUUAUUGUUGCUAGUGGGCUGGGUCGCUAUAUUUGGUAUCAGAGCCGGUUCACCGGUUGGACAUGUGUGGCGAGUCUCGGCUUAGCCAGGGUUUGGAUGACGGGCUAGCGAGACGAGUCUUACAUCGCCUGGUGAUCUUGGGCUGUGUGUGAUUGGACUGACGAGGACGUCAGGGUCUUAACGGGGGGAGUCAAUAAUAACUGGGCUUAAGCAUUUUGGGCCGGUUGUUGGGCCCAACGACUUAUUGUUGCUAGUGGGCUGGGUCGUUACACUAGAUGCUUCAAAUAUAUUAGAUUAAGUCUAACAGAAUCGAUCGUUGAUUUAAAAACUCCAUCAUCGAAAGUGGCUUAGGAGCACGGAGACCUUCGUACUCCUAAUAACACACAAAACCUACUCUCUCUCUCUCUCUAUAUAUAUAUUUAUUUAUG